UACGGGGGGGCAAGCGUUGUUCGGAAUUACUGGGCGUAAAGGGCUCGUAGGCGGCCAACUAAGUCAGACGUGAAAUCCCUCAGCUUAACUGGGGAACUGCGUCCGAUACUGGAUGGCUUGAGUUUGGGAGAGGGAUGCGGAAUUCCAGGUGUAGCGGGUGAAAUGCGUAGAGUAUCUGGAGGAACACCGGUGGCGAAGGCGGCCAUCUGGACCGAGUACUGACGCUGAGGCGCGAAAGCGUGGGGAGCAACAGGGAUUAAGAU
rnacentral:rRNA from 1 species